CCCGACCAAAAUUAUCACCUUAUAAUACUCAGAAAAUGAUUCCUUAUUCCUUAUAUAGAUUUUGACUGUGAUAUGCAUGUUCUAACUGAGCACUUGAGUGUGGAAAUCUCCACAUGGUAAAAUGGCCAAUCUAUUAUUCUUUCAAGAUAUCUUACAUGUCACUAUGUAAAUAUAUUUAUUUAGGAAAGCUUUCUUUAACACUACAGUUGUCAUUUAUUUGUAAUUUAAUAACAUUUUAAUGUGAAUCUAUUUAAGGGGCAGAUAAAUUCUAGCAUUUUGAAUUCUUCAAAUGUUAAUGAAAUCAGCUGUUCAUUUUUUUUUUAUUAGAGAUGGAAUUCAUAAUAUACAAGCCAGAAUAUUUUUUUUAUACCACUGGCAGUUAUUUUGUUUGAUACAUAAUUUUCUUCACACCAAUUUCAAAUUUUCACAAACCAGUUUUAUCAAUAGAAGAGCUAAAUAUUGUAAACACAUAAAAUUGGGAAAAUAAAAUGUUAACUCAAAUUGUGACCAUGCUCCUUUAAGAUUUACUAAUUGUUAAAGAACAUAAUUGUUAUUAAAAAACAAUGUUAGUGCCUUUACUUUGGACAAUUUUGUCUGUUGUGCACAAUUUUUCUAUAAAAAAAAAUAAAGUUGAUGAACAGUUUU
rnacentral:sRNA from 1 species